rnacentral:lncRNA from 1 species
CAUGGAGGUGGAGCCUGAGAAUCUCAGUUCUUAGCCAGCUCCCUAGCUGAUUCCUUGGCUUCUUAAAGUUUAAUACCUAAUGCCUUAAAAAUACUAACUUUCUGAAAUUCUACCCUCGUAAUUUCUUCCUUCUUCUUUUAUGCUCCAGCUAGCCCAUCACCUGGCAUGCAGGAGAUGGAUUCAGUAUUUAUGAGAUGAAUGAAUAAUGUCGACCAAAGCGCUAGCUUCAGCCAUUGCCUGUGUGCUGAGGACUCAAAUCAUCUCCAGCCCUUUCUCUUCUGAGCCCGCCCUCGACAAAACACCCAACUGCUGAACAUACAACAGGAAAACAAAAAGAUGUCCCCUCCUCUUGUGGUCAUCCAGUGGAGGCACGAAGGAAUCCCACCCCUAGUUUGUUUGGAUGUCAAGGCUGAUGAUACCACACAAACACCGAAAGGGUUUGAAACACUUCAUCACACGUGGGCUUACAGCAGCAGCUUGGACAGAGAUGAGGCCCUGGGCCAGCAAAAGAGGGGAGAUAAAAACAAGACCCUUACAUAAAUCUGAGAAGCUGGAAACAAUUCUUCCCGCGGCCAAAGGUGAUGACGAGAUUCUGUCUGUCUUAGGCUGCACUCAGUCUUCUAGAAAGCAGUUCAGUGGCUGCCAGGGACUGGGAGGAGGGGGGCUGGGGACUAAUGGGUACCAGAUUUCCUCUCAGGGCGAUGAAAGUGUUCUAGAACCAGACCGUGGUGAUGGUCGCAUUAUACUGUGAAUGUACUAAAUUGUACACUUUAAAAUGGUUAGGAUGCUGAAGCUGACCACAGUAAAAGACCCCUAAGAAAUUAUUACCACAGCCCUCCUGUCAUGUGGAUUUGGGAUUGAAUUUAGACUACCAGCAUGGUCAAGGGGCUCCCAGGCAAGAAAUUAACAUAAGACAUGGUCUCCGGCUGGUGAUACGCUUCAAAGCUUUGAGAGGAAUAAAUACUUCUGUAACUCUGGAACA